UAGUAGCGGCGAGCGAACAGGGAAAAGCCCAGCACUGAAUCCCGCAAUUGUAACCAAUUGCUGGGAAAUGUAGUGUUAAGAAAUAUUCAUUAUCUUGAAUUUUUAUAGCGCGUCCAAGUCUAUCUUGAACGGGGCAAUUACCCAUAGAGGGUGCCAGGCCCGUAGUGACCGUUAUUUAUUUCAAGAGAAUAUUUUCUGAGAGUCGGGUUGCUUGAGAGUGCAGCCCUAAGUGGGUGGUAAACUCCAUCUAAGGCUAAAUAUAACCACGAGACCGAUAGCGAACAAGUACCGUGAGGGAAAGUUGAAAAGAACUUUGAAGAGAGAGUUCAAUAGUACGUGAAACCGUUUAGGGGUAAACCUGAGAAACCCGAAAAGUCGAAAAGAAAGAUUCACUCGCGUUUCAUUAUUUGCGUUCAGAAUGUAUGUGACACAUAACUAUUUAUAGUUAAAUGCACUUGUUUUGCAACGAUCUGAUUUUGAACGUGUGCACUUCUUUCUUAGUAGAACGUCGUAAUUCGUUGAGUGUCAAUUUAAGACUUGUAUGUAAGUUUGUAAAUUUUUUUUCGGAAUUAUUUGCAAGACAUUGCGUUGUUCUAAUUGACUAGCUCGACGGUAUUAAAUUAAAUAAUGCAAAGCCGCAAACUUAGUUUGCGUUCAACUUUUAAACAAGCUAGUUUGUUUAGUUUGGCUAUUGCAUUUAUAUGUCGAUACCGGCUACAAACAGCUGUUUGUUUUUAAUGUUUGAACAGACUUUGAAACAUUUAUUGACGACGCUAUUGUUUUGGGUACUUUCAGGACCCGUCUUGAAACACGGACCAAGGAGUCUAGCAUGUACGCAAGUCAUUGGGAUAUUAAUAAACCUAAAGGCGUAAUGAAAGAAAAAGUUUAUCUUGUAUGAACUUAGGGAAGAUGAGUAAAUUUUAUAUAUUUACUCCGCACUCCCGGGGCAUUUUAUUCUUAUUGCAAGAAAAGGUGCACCAAGAGCGUACAUGCUGGGACCCGAAAGAUGGUGAACUAUGCCUGGUCAGGACGAAGUCAGGGGAAACCCUGAUGGAGGUCCGUAGCGAUUCUGACGUGCAAAUCGAUCGUCGGAACUGGGUAUAGGGGCGAAAGACUAAUCGAACCAUCUAGUAGCUGGUUCCCUCCGAAGUUUCCCUCAGGAUAGCUGGCGCUCGUUUUUACGAGUUUCAUCCGGUAAAGCGAAUGAUUAGAGGCAUUGGGGUCGAAACGACCUCAACCUAUUCUCAAACUUUAAAUGGGUGAGAUCUUUGGCUUGCUUAAAUAAGUGAAGCCUUAGUAUCAAACGUGAAUCAGAGUGCCAAGUGGGCCAUUUUUGGUAAGCAGAACUGGCGCUGUGGGAUGAACCAAACGUCAAGUUAAAGCGCCUAAAUCAACGCUUAUGGGACACCAUGAAAGGCGUUGGUAACUUAAGACAGCAGGACGGUGGCCAUGGAAGUCGGAAUCCGCUAAGGAGUGUGUAACAACUCACCUGCCGAAGUUACUAGCCCUGAAAAUGGAUGGCGCUGAAGCGUUGUGCUUAUACUUGACCGUUAGUAGCAUGUGUGAUUGAAUUUUAUUUGAUCAUAAAGCUCUAAUGAGUAGGAGGGUCGCAACGGUGUGCGUAGAAGGGCUAGCCGUAAGGCUGUCUGGAGCCGCCGUUGGUGCAGAUCUUGGUGGUAGUAGCAAAUACUCCAGCGAGGCCCUGGAGGACUGACGUGGAGAAGGGUUUCGUGUGAACAGCUGUUGCACACGAGUCAGUCGAUCCUAAGCCCUAGGCGAAAGCCGAUGUUGAUGUAGUGUAUUUAAUUUACAUAUUUUAUAAAAAUUAAAACAUACUUAUCUACACAAUAUAUGUAGCUAUAAUUAUCUAUUAGAUUUAUCAAAGUUUAUAAACUGUGUGUUUGUUGAUAAAUAUAUAUAUGUAGAAUAAUAGAUGAUUUGAUUAGAUUUGAUAUGUAGUAUAAAUCUAAAUAAGAAGUUUUAUUAAUGAAUUUUAAUAAAAUGGAAUAAUAACACACACUCGUGUUGGGCGAAAGGGAAUCCGGUUCCUAUUCCGGAACCUAGCAGCGGAACCGUCUUAUAAUCGGGCCCUCAUUGAGAGUUCGUCGGGGUAACCCAAAAUGACUCAGAGACGCCGUCGGAAAAUCCAGGAAGAGUUUUCUUUUCUGUAUAAGCGUUCGAGUUCCAUGGAAUCCUCUAGCAGGGAGAUAUGGUUUGGAACGCGAAGAGCACCGCAGUUGCGGCGGUGUCUGGAUUUUUCCCUCGGACCUUGAAAAUCUGAGAGAGGGCCACGUGGAGGCGUCGCGCUAGAUCGUACCCAUAUCCGCAGCAGGUCUCC
rnacentral:rRNA from 1 species